UGGGGAAUAUUGCACAAUGGGCGCAAGCCUGAUGCAGCGACGCCGCGUGAGGGAUGACGGCCUUCGGGUUGUAAACCUCUGUUAGCAUCGAAGAAGCGAAAGUGACGGUAGGUGCAGAGAAAGCGCCGGCUAACUACGUGCCAGCAGCCGCGGUAAUACGUAGGGCGCGAGCGUUGUCCGGAAUUAUUGGGCGUAAAGAGCUUGUAGGCGGUUGGUCGCGUCUGCUGUGAAAGGCUGGGGCUUAACCCUGGUUUUGCAGUGGGUACGGGCUAACUAGAGUGCAGUAGGGGAGACUGGAAUUCCUGGUGUAGCGGUGGAAUGCGCAGAUAUCAGGAGGAACACCGAUGGCGAAGGCAGGUCUCUGGGCUGUAACUGACGCUGAGAAGCGAAAGCAUGGGGAGCGAACAGGAUUAGAUACCCUGGUAGUCCAUGCCGUAAACGUUGGGCACUAGGUGUGGGGGACAUUCCACGUUUUCCGCGCCGUAGCUAGCGCAUUAAGUGCCCCGCCUGGGGAGUACGGCCGCAAGGCUA
rnacentral:rRNA from 1 species